UCCUACCGGGAGGCAGCAGUGGGGAAUAUUGCACAAUGGGCGAAAGCCUGAUGCAGCGACGCCGCGUGGGGGAUGACGGUCUUCGGAUUGUAAACCCCUUUCAGUAGGGACGAAGCGCAAGUGACGGUACCUGCAGAAGAAGCACCGGCUAACUACGUGCCAGCAGCCGCGGUAAUACGUAGGGUGCGAGCGUUGUCCGGAAUUACUGGGCGUAAAGAGCUCGUAGGCGGUUUGUCACGUCGUCUGUGAAAUCCCUCGGCUUAACCGGGGGCGUGCAGGCGAUACGGGCAGACUUGAGUACUACAGGGGAGACUGGAAUUCCUGGUGUAGCGGUGAAAUGCGCAGAUAUCAGGAGGAACACCGGUGGCGAAGGCGGGUCUCUGGGUAGUAACUGACGCUGAGGAGCGAAAGCAUGGGUAGCGAACAGGAUUAGAUACCCUGGUAGUCCAUGCCGUAAACGGUGGGCGCUAGGUGUGGGGUCCUUCCACGGACUCCGUGCCGUAGCUAACGCAUUAAGCGCCCCGCCUGGGGAGUACGGCCGCAAGGCUAAAACUCAAAGGAAUUGACGGGGGCCCGCACAAGCGGCGGAGCAUGUGGAUUAAUUCGAUGCAACGCGAAGAACCUUACCUAGGCUUGACAUAUACAGGACGACGGCAGAGA
rnacentral:rRNA from 1 species